rnacentral:rRNA from 1 species
UGGGCUACACACGUGCUACAAUGGACAGAACAAAGGGCUGCAAGACCGCAAGGUUUAGCCAAUCCCAUAAAUCUGUUCUCAGUUCGGAUCGCAGUCUGCAACUCGACUGCGUGAAGCUGGAAUCGCUAGUAAUCGCGGAUCAGCAUGCCGCGGUGAAUACGUUCCCGGGCCUUGUACACACCGCCCGUCACACCACGAGAGUUUGCAACACCCGAAGUCGGUGAGGUAACCUUUAUGGAGCCAGCCGCC